UACGUAGGGUGCAAGCGUUAAUCGGAAUUACUGGGCGUAAAGCGCACGUAGGCGGUUUUUUAAGUCAGAUGUGAAAGCCCCGGGCUCAACCUGGGAAUUGCAUUUGAAACUGGAAAACUAGAGUGUGUGAGAGGGGGGUAGAAUUCCAAGUGUAGCGGUGAAAUGCGUAGAGAUUUGGAGGAAUACCAGUGGCGAAGGCGGCCCCCUGGCACAACACUGACGCUCAGGUGCGAAAGCGUGGGGAGCAAACAGG
rnacentral:rRNA from 1 species